UACGAAGGGGGGCUAGCGUUGCUCGGAAUGACUGGGCGUAAAGGGCGCGUAGGCGGCUUGGCAAGUCAGGCGUGAAAUUCCUGGGCUCAACCUGGGGGCUGCGCUUGAGACUGCUGGGCUUGAGGAUGGAAGAGGCUCGUGGAAUUCCCAGUGUAGAGGUGAAAUUCGUAGAUAUUCGGAAGAACACCAGUGGCGAAGGCGGCUCACUGGCCCGGUACUGACGCUGAUGUGCGAAAGCGUGGGGAGCAAACAGG
rnacentral:rRNA from 1 species